ACCGCGCAACGAAGACGACGCGGCCGCUGGUUCCGUUUUGAUGCGGGAAUUUGAGGAUGCCUUUCAAGGUUGCCGAAAAAGUCAUCGGUUCCUUGGUUUGUUUGCGAAUCGAUUCUCAGUUUACAUAAGCACGUGAGCUUUCAGACGGAAGGCACGGCGGUGCAGUAAAAACGUGACUUCUGUAAGCCCUCUGGUAGCAGAGAAACGGCCCCGCUUCGCGGUCACGCCGCGUUCAUUUCACCGCGUUUUGGCGGCACCUGCGUUUGGGAACAGCUGUUUUCGGGAUGAAGCGCGGGAAGAGUGAAACUUCAUCACAAAUCUCCGAGGAACGCCCUGAGACCUCACUAAGAACUGCGGCCAUUGCCGUGGCACCAGGUUUCCACGGAAAUAAAUAGGAGGCAUUAGUUUUGGAGCAACCUAUGUGGCUCUAGUUUGUUCCUCUUCAAACCGUGUGGCCCAGGUAAGCCAAAAGUUGGACACCCAUACUAUAGAGCUCCUAGUACAUUUUUUGUACUGAGAAGACUGGUCCGAGGAUCAAGCAUGUGCUAGGUACUACACUUCUAUUUGCUCUUUAUUUAUUACUGUUAUCUGUCCUUAUUUUAAAAAUAAAUUAAUAAAAAUGAUUACUGGUUAAGAGUUCGAAGGGAGCAUCUUUUCUUUACAAAGGUUUUUAUACUCUGCUGAUUGCUGACAUUCCUCAGUCCUGGCAGAUCAAUUUACAGGAACACUGUCCAAAUUGUACUGCCUCUCUUGAGCUUUAUGAAGAAUAAGAAAACUAUGGAAAAUAGCAACUUUUCAAAAAGUUGAAUUUAAAACAAGUUUCUGUAUAUGUAGUGAUGGAAUAGUUGGAAAUCUUUUGGUGAAAGGUGCACCAUUUCAUUGACUUUUUUUCCCUGAAAUAGUUAUCCUCUAUUAUAGAUGGAAGCAAUAAGGGAUUUUUUUUCAGUUUUAUGGAAGUUAAAAUCCAGUCUAUAGACUAUGCUUGUCAUUACUUUUUAUGGAAAGCUUUCUCCAUCGUACAAAGGCCAAAAAAAAAAAAAAGUCCCAACAAAAAGAAACCCAUCCCAAAAUAACCUACUAAUGAAGACUCAAAGAAAGGAUGAGUAAAACAUUGGUGCAGAAUAUGUUACUGAAUGCCAGAACAACAAAACCACUUAGCGCUUUAGCAUAGAUCUAUCCUCGGUUUUCUGUUAGAUUAAAUCUAGUUACUUUAAAUAAUAUUCACUUAUUUGAAGUACAGUCAUGAAACUGCAUCUCUCGCACCUCAGCCAAGUGGUCUGGCUGUGCAGUUAAAUAGAAGAUUCUAUGUUCAUCUCAGUAUAAAACAGAAAGACUUUUCAAAGAAAACAAACAGUUCUGCUAUUGUUACUCCUGAAGUCUCAAAGAAAUGAGGUGAAAAUUGUGCACCUUUGUAGCAGAAUGAUCAGUUGUGGAUAUAAGGCCUCUAGUUUUUGUUGUGUUGGUUGGUUUGCUUGUUGUUUUAUGUUUGGUUUUUAGUUUUGUUUGUUUUGUUUUCUACAAACAAUUUCUACAAUUUUGAAGCUUCUUUAAGGCCACAAAACCAAAUAGUGUAUUGGAAAGGAACAGAACAGCAGCAGAGAUUGUGCAACCUGAAAAGCACUUGCCACAGAUAAAGACUAUUUUCUACAACACCGUUACUUUUAUAUAAGAAGAACUGUAAUACUGGCUCUAUUGCUUCAUAAUAUUUAGACAAUACAGCAUAAGAAUGUAUCACAUAAACACACAAAUCCCUAAGUUUUUGGUCUAAGCAGAAAAGUCAUAGAAUUAUAGAAUCUUUUGGGUUGGAAGGAACCUUUAAAGGCCAUCUAGUCCAACUUCCUUGCAAUAAGCAGGAACUGCUAGGCAUCCUGCUCAGAGCCCCAUCCAGUCUGAUCAUGACUGUCUCCAGGCAUGGGGCAUCCACCACCUCUCUGGGUAAGCUGUUCCAGUGUCCCACCACCCUUACUGUAAUAACUUACUCCUUAUGUCCACUCUAAUUCUCCCCUCUUUUAGUUUGAAACCGUUUCCCUCUGUUAUAUCAUCACAGACCAUGCUAAAGAGUCUGUUCCAUUCCUUCUUACAGCCCCCCAUUCAGAUACUGAAAGGCAGCUCUCAGGUCUACCUGGAGCAUUCUCCAGACUGAGCAGCCCCAGCUCUCAGCCUGUUCUCGUAGGACAAGUGUUCCAUCCCUUGGAUCAUUUCUGUAGCCCUCCUCUGGACCCACUCCAACAAGCCUGUGUCUGUUCUGUACUGUGAGGACUCUACAUCUGGAUGCAGUAUUCCAAUUGAGGUCUCACAGCACAGCAUAGAGGGGCAAGAUUACCUCCCUUGACCUGCUGGCUACAUUUUUUAUGGUGCAGCCUGGGAUCUGGUUGACUUUCUGGGCUACGAGAGCACACUGCUGGCUCAUGUCCAGCUUGCCAUCCACCAGUACCCCCAAGUCCUUUUUGUGAAACCUGUGUUCCACCCUUUCAUUCCCUAGCUUGUACUGAUAGCAGGAGUUGCCAUGACCCAAGCACAAGACCAUGAACUUGGAUUUGUUGAACCUCAUGAGGUUCUCCCGGGCCCACAUAUCACGCCUAUCCAGGUCUUUAUGGAUGGCAUCACAUUCCUCAAGCACGUUGACUGCACCACACACCUUGGCAUCACCUGCAAACUUGCUGAUCUCUCUUUAAUUUCUAUUUAAUUUAAGGGAUGUGCAUAAGGAUUCUUAACAUGCAACAUACCAUUUUCUUCUUCUGUCAAGUUAGUGUACAUUCAUCGCAAUGUUAGUAUAAAUACAAAGAAUGGCUGUAGAAGGUUUUAAGGGGUCAUUCUGUCUUGCCUCCUCAUAGAAAAGCUUUGUAGGAAUCAUGGAAACUGGAGACAGUUACAAUGUUUCAAAAUUAGAUUAAUAGAAACAAAGAAGAGAAUCCUAUUUUUAUUGAAACCAAACAAAACUAACCUGAUUUCAUUUUUUACAGAAUCAGAGAAUCAUGCUUUUAGUUGAAUUUUAUUACCAUCUUUUAAACCAGAGUUGUUUGUAUAUGUUCAUCCAUCUAGUAUCCACCAGGUUUACACCAUACAUGGCUAAUUCAUCACGUUCUCAUCUGAGGUAAAGAUACUAGUUCUUCAGAGAAGAUUUCUGUAGAACAAAGGAACACUGGAAAACUCACGGAUGUGUGGGUUAAGUUACUGUUUGCCAAGUCACAGAGUGAGGAUUUGUUCAGCUCAGUGACCCUUAUUUUAAACUAUCACAAGAGGGAGAUAAAAUGAUUCUUCCAUAUGAUGUUGGAUAAACCUGUAGAGGUCCCAGGAACAGCUGAGAACUCUAAUUAAAACUGUUUUUCAUGUAGUAAAAGUGAGUAUUCCAACUAUUUUCUUCUUCCAUUCCUUUUUAGAAAAUCUGCUUUCAGGUCAGAUUUGCUGGUUAGACACACGUGUUAUUACAGAUGACAGCAAUUUGUGAGAGAAUUGAAGCAGUGCAAUCGGAUGUGGAGUGGUGCAGUUGUGUCAUCUAGACUACUUUUAUUCAACAUCAAAAGCAGAACUACUUGCUGUGAGGGCCGGUACAUCCAUCCAAAAGGCUGAAUGUAAACCAGACAACCAGCAAAAGGGGAGCCCUUUUCCAGUCUCAGCUCAUUCUCACAGCCCAAAGACCUGGAUCUUCACCUGCCACUGUGCUUUAUGCUUAGCCUGUCAAGUGAAGUACAGUCACGAGUGUUAAGAACUUCUUAAUUGUAAAACUGAAGUGCUUGUACUGUAUUAUUAUCAAGCCAUCUGAAUGCUUCAGAUAAUGCUUAUUGAAAAACAAAAAUGUGGAAAGCUGGGGAUCUGAGUCUAAAUGCAGAACUCUAGCCACAAGACAAGUUGUUUUUGUAACAGGAAAAUGUUACUUUCUGGGAAUUGCAAAGAAUUAAUUUACAUGGUAGAUUUGUUCACCUUCCUGCUACUUGUGUAUGUCCUUUCUAUGUUUAACACGUACAUACUGGUUUGAUGUAUAUGAUACAAAUAUACAUUUAAACAUAUAGACUUGAAUAAAAUAGUUUGUUUUGUCUCUUUUUAACAUGAAUUUAAGCUACUAAUUUGUGUGACCAUGCCAGUUUAUAUACAGUCAUUCAUGUUUCUCCUUUGUAAAAACACAGUUGAUAAACUAAGAGGAGAUGCCCAUUGAAUUCUAUACCCUUUAUAUUCUUAAUACAUCUCAGAGGUUGGAGAGAGAAUUUACUUUUUUUUUU